AAAUUUGAAACCCUCGGGAUUGUAAUUUGAAGAUUUGGCAUUGGAGAAAGCUAACCCAAGUUGCUUGGAAUAGUACGUCAUAGAGGGUGACAACCCCGUCUGGCUAACCGUUCUCCAUGUAUUGCCUUAUCAAAGAGUCGAGUUGUUUGGGAAUGCAGCUCAAAGUGGGUGGUAAACUCCAUCUAAAGCUAAAUACUGGUGAGAGACCGAUAGCGAACAAGUACUGUGAAGGAAAGGUGAAAAGAACUUUGAAAAGGGUAGAAAUAGUAUGUGAAAUUGUUGAUAGGGAAGGAAAUGAGUGGAGAGUGGCCGAGGUUUCAGCCGCCCCUCGUGGGCGGUGUACUGCCGACGCCGAGUCAUCGAUAGCGAGACGAGGGUUACAAAUGGGAGCGCCUUUCGGGCGUUCUCCCCUAACCCUCCACACUGCCACCGACAACAUAAUCCACCCAUUUCACCCGUCUUGAAACACGAACAAA
rnacentral:rRNA from 1 species